rnacentral:rRNA from 1 species
UACAGAGGUCUCAAGCGUUGUUCGGAUUCAUUGGGCGUAAAGGGCGCGUAGGCGGCGGGGUAAGUCGGGUGUGAAAUCUCAGAGCUCAACUCUGAAACUGCACUCGAUACUGCUCUGCUUGAGGACUGGAGAGGAGACUGGAAUUCACGGUGUAGCAGUGAAAUGCGUAGAUAUCGGGAGGAACACCAGUGGCGAAGGCGGCUCUCUGGGGUAUUGCUGACGCUGAGGCACGAAAGCCAGGGGAGCGAACGGG